GGGGUGCACGUGCAACGGAGACACCGCCCCUAAACCUGGGGCCCUGAGGCUAACAGCUAACAGUGGCCCUGCCGUUACGGCCAGUGUCAGGUGCCAGCUGGGCUGGACCAGGAAUUCCCAGAAACCUGGCAAGGCAUGAUUUGGGGUGGGUCGUGCUGAGGGCCACACCAUCCGCUUCCCCGCUUCUGAGGCCUUCCGACCUGGGCUGAGCCCGGCUACCCGAGUCCCGGGGUCUCCGGCUCACAGACUUCUCGGCCUCCGUAAUUGCAAACGCCAGCUCCCCCAGUCCAUCUCCUGUCCUGGAUCUACGUCUAUAUCCUACUGGAUCCGUCUCUCUGGAGAACCCUAAUACAGCUGUCAACACAAGGAUGAACUAACUACAAGAAGGCCUGAAUAGGAACUCUCCCAGGGGACGAAGAGGUUUCAGCCUUCAGCAAAGGAUGGUUCAUAGAAACCGUUCGCAUAGUCGGCCCUCCACGGACUGCAACCCUAGUUAAUAUUACCUACAGUAAACAAAAAAUUCAAGUAUAGAUUUUAGUCUAAAGCAAAUAGGAAAUGUCGCUUCCCUGGACGUUGGGAGAAGCAAACACGAAUCCUCUCCUGAGGCCGGAAGCGGUGGCUCACGCCUGUAAUCCCAGCACUUUGGGAGGCUGAGGCGGGCGGAUCAUUUUAUAACUAUCUAUUAAAUGUUUAAGUUUUCAGUCCAUUUUUCCUGUCUACAUGGAAUUGCCGACUGCACAAAGAACACAUGAGGGCUCUCUCAAGGCCAUCAUUUCCGCGGAGUCCCAUUUCCUGACUCAAAUGACAAGCUCUCAACUUUCUACUCAAGAUCAUUGAAACAUCUGUGUUGAUUAUUUGUAACCGGGAUAUGCUUUAUUUAUUAGAUAAGAGACU
rnacentral:lncRNA from 1 species